GGGUCAAACUGAUGCUGUGAUGUG
rnacentral:miRNA from 1 species